rnacentral:rRNA from 1 species
GUGCUUAACACAUGCAAGUCGAUCGGUAACAGGUGUAGCAAUACAUGCUGACGAGAGGCGGACGGGUGAGGAAUAUUUGGGAAUCUGCCCAUCAGCGGGGGACAACCCGGGGAAACCCGGGCUAAUACCGCAUACGCUCUACGGAGGAAAGCCGGGGACCGCAAGGCCUGGCACUGAUGGAUGAGCCCAAAUCGGAUUAGCUAGUUGGCGGGGUAACGGCCCACCAAGGCGACGAUCCGUAGCUGGUCUGAGAGGACGAUCAGCCACACUGGCACUGAAACACGGGCCAGACUCCUACGGGAGGCAGCAGUGGGGAAUAUUGGACAAUGGGCGCAAGCCUGAUCCAGCCACGCCGCGUGAGUGAUGAAGGCCUUCGGGUUGUAAAGCUCUGUGGGGAGGGGCGAAAACGGCCGGUAAGAAACGACCGGUCCUUGACGGUACCUCCUUAGCAAGCACCGGCUAGCUCUGUGCCAGCAGCCGCGGUAAUACAGAGGGUGCGAACGUUGCUCGGAAUUACUGGGCGUAAAGCGCGUGUAGGCGGACGGGUAAGUCAGAUGUGAAAUCCCCGGGCUCAACCCGGGAACUGCAUUUGAAACUGCUCGUCUUGAGUACCGGAGAGGGUGGCGGAAUUCCUGGUGUAGAGGUGAAAUUCGUAGAUAUCAGGAGGAACACCGGUGGCGAAGGCGGCCACCUGGACGGUAACUGACGCUGAGACGCGAAAGCGUGGGGAGCAAACAGGAUUAGAUACCCUGGUAGUCCACGCUGUAAACGAUGGGUGCUAGGUGUCUCGGGUAUUGACCCCUGAGGUGCCGUAGCUAACGCGUUAAGCACCCCGCCUGGGAAGUACGGUCGCAAGACUAAAACUCAAAUGAAUUGACGG